UACGUAGGGUGCGAGCGUUGUCCGGAAUCAUUGGGCGUAAAGAGCGUGUAGGCGGCUCGGUAAGUCCGCUCUGAAAGCCCGGGGCUCAACCCCGGGAGGCGGGCGGAUACUGUCGGGCUAGAGUCCGGAAGAGGCGAGUGGAAUUCCUGGUGUAGCGGUGAAAUGCGCAGAUAUCAGGAGGAACACCAAUGGCGAAGGCAGCUCGCUGGGACGGUACUGACGCUGAGACGCGAAAGCGUGGGGAGCAAACAGG
rnacentral:rRNA from 1 species